rnacentral:rRNA from 1 species
AUUGAACGCUGGCGGCAGGCCUAACACAUGCAAGUCGAACGGUAACAGGAAGAAGCUUGCUUCUUUGCUGACGAGUGGCGGACGGGUGAGUAAUGUCUGGGAAACUGCCUGAUGGAGGGGGAUAACUACUGGAAACGGUAGCUAAUACCGCAUAACGUCGCAAGACCAAAAAGGGGGACCUUCGGGCCUCUUGCCAUCGGAUGUGCCCAGAUGGGAUUAGCUAGUAGGUGGGGUAACGGCUCACCUAGGCGACGAUCCCUAGCUGGUCUGAGAGGAUGACCAGCCACACUGGAACUGAGACACGGUCCAGACUCCUAAGGGAGGCAGCAGUGGGGAAUAUUGCACAAUGGGCGCAAGCCUGAUGCAGCCAUGCCGCGUGUAUGAAGAAGGCCUUCGGGUUGUAAAGUACUUUCAGCGGGGAGGAAGGGAGUAAAGUUAAUACCUUUGCUCAUUGACGUUACCCGCAGAAGAAGCACCGGCUAACUCCGUG